AUUAAGCCAUGCAAGUCUAAGUACACACGGCCGGUACAGUGAAACUGCGAAUGGCUCAUUAAAUCAGUUAUGGUUCCUUUGAUCGCUCUAACGUUACUUGGAUAACUGUGGCAAUUCUAGAGCUAAUACAUGCCAACGAGCGCUGACCUCCGGGGAUGCGUGCAUUUAUCAGACCCAAAACCCAUGCGGGGUGCCUCUCGGGGCGCCCCGGCCGCUUUGGUGACUCUAGAUAACCUCGAGCCGAUCGCUGGCCCUCGUGGCGGCGACGUCUCAUUCGAAUGUCUGCCCUAUCAACUUUCGAUGGUACUUUCUGUGCCUACCAUGGUGACCACGGGUAACGGGGAAUCAGGGUUCGAUUCCGGAGAGGGAGCCUGAGAAACGGCUACCACAUCCAAGGAAGGCAGCAGGCGCGCAAAUUACCCACUCCCGACUCGGGGAGGUA
rnacentral:rRNA from 1 species